AGGUGCGAUCAUACCAACACUAAUGCACCGGAUCUCAUCAGAACUCCAUAGUUAAGCAUGAUUGGGCGAGUGUAGUACUAGGAUCGGUGACCUCUUAGGAAGUCCUGGUGUUGCACCUCU